AUUGAACGCUGGCGGCAGGCCUAACACAUGCAAGUCGAACGAGUGGCGGACGGGUGAGUAAUGUCUGGGAAACUGCCUGAUGGAGGGGGAUAACUACUGGAAACGGUAGCUAAUACCGCAUACCAUCGGAUGUGCCCAGAUGGGAUUAGCUCGUAGUUGGGGUAACGGCUCACCUAGGCGACGAUCCCUAGCUGGUCUGAGAGGAUGACCAGCCACACGGGAACUGAGACACGGUCAAGACUACUACGGGAGGCAGCAGUGGGGAAAAUUGCACAAUGGGGGCAAGCCGGAUGCAGCCAUGCCGCGUGUAUGAAGAAGGCCUUCGGGUUGUAAAGCACUUUCAGCGGGGAGGCGUUACCCGCAGAAGAAGCACCGGCUAACGCCGUGCCAGCAGCCGCGGGAAUAC
rnacentral:rRNA from 1 species